rnacentral:rRNA from 1 species
AUGGAGGCGAGAGCGUGGAGUCAAAGCUACAGCGGCGGCAGGAGCAGUGAUGGGCAUUUGAUUUCAUUUUCAUUUUCCUCUGGCGCGUGCGCGGCGGAGGAGGUGGAGGAGGGAACAUUUACCGUGGUCGUCGGAGUAGGCGAGGAGGGCGACGAGGCGCGGGUGGCGGCCGACGCGGCGGAGCAGGUCGAGCUCGCGCCGGAACGCGCCGAGCCGGCGCUCGCCGCCGCCGCACCAGCGGUGCACCUUCACGGCGGCCGGGGGCCCGCCGGCCAACACGGGGAUCCUGGACAGGUACACGGCGCCGCCGGAGCCGCCGCGGCCCACCACGGCCGCCUCGUCGAACCCGCCCGUCAGCGCCUCCACCUCCCGCCACGCCAGCCGCCGGGGCUCCGGCGCCUUGGGCUUCGCCCACGCCGCCGGAAGGGGCGGCUCCUGCUGCGGCACUGCUGGCGGUGCCGCCGCCCGCGCGGCGGCCUCGGGGUCGACCGCGGCGUAGGGGGCGCGCGCGGCGGGUGCGGGGGCCCGGCGGAGCGCGGCGAGGCAGAGGCGGAGGAGGAGGAGCGAGAUGGCGGCCGAGGCGAGCAGCAGGAGGCAGAAGAAGACCGUGGCCAGCGCCAUGGCCACGUCCAUGCCGCCGCCGCCGGUGGUGAGCCGCCGCAGUGCUUGGCCUGCUUGCUUUCUUGGAGUGUGGGGGAAAUGCGACGGAAGAGACACAAGGGGAAGGGAGGGUACGAUGUAUAUGCAUGGGAGAGAAUCGGAGGAGGACAAAAAUGUGAACUUUAG